UUGGAAAAAGUUCUUUCCUACCUCAGAUG
rnacentral:piRNA from 1 species